rnacentral:rRNA from 1 species
AUGGACCUCACGCAUAGUCAGGAACACCCGAAACGGGGUGGUUUUUGUGCGCCAUUUUUAUUCAAAAUUCAAAAGGAUCAAGUAGAGAGAGUAAAUGCAGACGAAGGCCUGGGGCAAGACAGACGCAGUAUAAGAUACAGCUGGGGUGCCUGCUCGGCUACAUUGCUUCAGUUUCCCUCCUUUGCCACAGGUUCAAAUUUUUUUGAAAGUCCAGACUGCUUCACAAUGGCGAUGUCUUGGGAGCAAUCAACGGCGAGCGGCACAACCUGCUGCUCUGAUCGGCGUGAGAAAAUCAUCGUGAAAGAAUAUCAGACAACUUCAGCAAGCCUGGAUUCAGCGGCGAGCGCAUGGAGUACAACGGUGCUACCGGCGAGAAGACACGCUUGUUCGGGACAGGGUGAGGUGAUCCAGCAAGCUGACUGCCGUCGUGGAGACCUGAAGCAAGAAGUGGCGGAUCAGACAAAUGAAGUUGAUGAGGAGGAAGGGUUCGGUGAGUACGAUCCAGAUGAAUCCGCGCAUCCGGCAGGAAUCUCUAGUGAGAGCGGCUUGGAAAACAGAGCUGACGAACCCGAGGCGCGCGCAGCUGGAUUGGGUGGUGAUGAAGAUGAAGUGACAAGCUUGCCAGCUAAACGUCGACGCUUAGAGGACUAG